rnacentral:lncRNA from 1 species
AUUCAGUCUCGCAGUUCUCUACAAGUCACUAUAUUACGUUAACAGAACUUACUGCUACGGUAUGACCCAAUUUAACAGGGAAACUCCCAGAAGCAUGAUCUAUUGUUGCUGCCACGUUUCUCUAGCUCAUCUCAUUAUGAACUCUUAUCAGCAUGAGAAGUUUCCACAGUAUGAGAGCGUGAGAUAAGGCUCGGGUUUAAAAUCAUUUUAGGCCUGGCCAUUGUGAUGAAAAAAAUUAACCUCUCCACUUAUCUUUCAGGAGCAAGAGAGGAAUCAUCUGAUGUAAAGGUAUGUUUUUGUAAGAAAUCGGCUUUGUUAUUGGUUGAACUUUUUAGCUACUCUGCUGUCAUUGGCUUACUCAUUUCAUGCUUCUCUCUCAUUGGCUCACAGGUCGCCAGGUCCAUAGCGACGACUGUUUGGGAUUACCGGAAAGCCGGGAGAGUCGCUGUUUACAUUUUAUGAGAUACCCCCAGGUCUCUGUUUACCUCAGACACUAUGAAUCCCUGCAGUGAUGUGUCCUUUUCAUAUUUUUUCUCCUUUUUUAUGUGUGGCCUCGGGCUAGUACAGAGGGAUUUAUCCACAGGAAGUUAAAUUACAGAUAAAAACAACAUGGAAAGAGGGCAUAUGUCUCUUCUGGCCCGCCUUAUGGGGCACAUCUUUUUCUGCAAGGCUAAUGUCAUCUUGAAGUUGGUAGAUCCUCUUGAGAUAUAGACGGCAGAGAGGACUUGAUGUGUUGAAUAUCUGAUGCCUUCCUCUUUCCCCGCUGUGGCCAUUACUCACCUCCUCGGAGAUGAUUGCAGAAGCCACAACAGACGCAAAAGAGACCGACACCGAAACACUGUUUAUCAUCUAGAGAGACAGGAUACUGCAGAAACCUUCACCGCCGAUUGUCUUCAUCUCUGUGUGUGGUGGAUCUUUCGUCUCUAUAUGUCGUUCUCCACCCCAGGAGGCUUUUCCUUCACCUCUCCGCUCCUCUGCAAUUAAGGCUGACAGGACAGCUUGCUCUAUUCCGCUGAUGCCAGUACUUAUCAAGACAGAGAGAGAGAGGGAGAGAGAGAGUUCAGGUAUGUUCAUCCAUCAGUCAAGGCCCCUUUUCAACCGCCCACCCUGUCUCCAUCCAUGCC